CAACAAGUAGCCAUUAAAUAAAAAUUAACGCACUCUGGUAAAAACACAGUGUGUCUAAUUAUCAUUUUCUGUUCUGCUGCUCCACCAGUUUGGGAUAGAAUGUGAUAUUUAGGUAAACAUAGUACAUGUGCAUAAACAUACACAUUUUACUGUCAAUAUUCUUUCUGUGCUCAUUCUAUAAGCUAAGACUGCUGCUCUCCUAAAUAUUUACUACACACAGAUUACUGCAAAGUAGUAACAUUAUAUCAAAGGCCAGGCCACAUAGGCUUGGUACGGUGCCUUAAUAGAACUUGAUAGGAGACACAAUGUUGACUCUUUU